AGGUUGUUCCCUUGAGGAGUGGCUUUCGGAGCUAACGCGUUAAAUCGACCGCCUGGGGAGUACGGCCGCAAGGUUAAAACUCAAAUGAAUUGACGGGGGCCCGCACAAGCGGUGGAGCAUGUGGUUUAAUUCGAUGCAACGCGAAGAACCUUACCUACUCUUGACAUCCAGAGAACUUUCCAGAGAUGGAUUGGUGCCUUCGGGAACUCUGAGACAGGUGCUGCAUGGCUGUCGUCAGCUCGUGUUGUGAAAUGUUGGGUUAAGUCCCGCAACGAGCGCAACCCUUAUCCUUUGUUGCCAGCGGUUCGGCCGGGAACUCAAAGGAGACUGCCAGUGAUAAACCGGAGGAAGGUGGGGAUGACGUCAAGUCAUCAUGGCCCUUACGAGUAGGGCUACACACGUGCUACAAUGGCGUAUACAAAGAGAAGCGACCUCGCGAGAGCAAGCGGAACUCAUAAAGUACGUCGUAGUCCGGAUUGGAGUCUGCAACUCGACUCCAUGAAGUCGGAAUCGCUAGUAAUCGUAGAUCAGAAUGCUACGGUGAAUACGUUCCCGGGCCUUGUACACACCGCCCGUCACACCAUGGGAGUGGGUUGCAAAAGAAGUAGGUAGCUUAACCUUCGGGAGGGCGCUACCA
rnacentral:rRNA from 1 species